rnacentral:rRNA from 1 species
GACGAACGCUGGCGGCGUGCUUAACACAUGCAAGUCGAACGGAAAGGCCCUGCUUUUGUGGGGUGCUCGAGUGGCGAACGGGUGAGUAACACGUGAGUAACCUGCCCUUGACUUUGGGAUAACUUCAGGAAACUGGGGCUAAUACCGGAUAGGAGCUCCUGCUGCAUGGUGGGGGUUGGAAAGUUUCGGCGGUUGGGGAUGGACUCGCGGCUUAUCAGCUUGUUGGUGGGGUAGUGGUUUACCAAGGCUUUGACGGGUAGCCGGCCUGAGAGGGUGAACGGCGACAUUGGGACUGAGAUACGGCCCAGACGCCUACGGGAGGCAGCAGUGGGGAAUAUUGCACAAUGGGCGGAAGCCUGAUGCAGCAACGCCGCGUGCGGGAUGACGGCCUUCGGGUUGUAAACCGCUUUCGCCUGUGACGAAGCGUGAGUGACGGUAAUGGGUAAAGAAGCACCGGCUAACUACGUG